CAGUUUCCCAUUUGGGAAAAACAGAUACCAAACAACAAUAAACCAAAACAUACAUUUGAAAUGGUCAGUGUCAAACAUUUGCUUAGGUAAGAAAGUACUAGCUAACCCUCUUCUCCUUGCUGACUCCCUCCUUUUGUUACCCUUCUAAGCAAGAGACUAACAUGCCACAGGUGUUGCAGUUGCAGUUGUUAAUGGCCCUUGCUAACAGUGCAUGGUCUCCUGGUGUGUGUAGCUGAGCUAUAAUCACCCCAAACUAUAAACUAAGCUCUGAAGGUCAUUUUGCCUUUUCUCAUGGUUCUUGGUCAUCCUGUCAUCAGCUUUGUUGAAUUGGGAUAGACUGCUGGAUUUGGGUCCAAAGGAGAUGCACAUAUUUCAGAAUAGCCAAGAGCCCACUCCUCUGGAAUUGGGGCGAUGCAACUUCAAGACCUUCCUUUUGCUUGUUUAGACUGCAGGUCUCCUGCAUCUCAGAUGAAAUCUGCUACAGAACUUAAAAGAUCCCAAGAGAAUGGGAGGCUGGCUCAUGGAGAGGUGAAGUGACUCAUCCCAGGAUCCAUAGGGAGUCAGAUAAAUCAGAAGCUAAUAGGCAGCAGAGAAAAUGAAAAUAGUGAAUUUUUUUCAUCUCCCCUAGACAAAUGACAGCAAAAGACUGUGACAUCUGCAAAGUGGAGGGAAGUGAAAUAAAAGACCCAGGAAAAGUCACUGCUGUUGGCAGUUAACAUGGGCAGCAGCCCAGAAGAAUAUAAACCUGAGCAGAUGGGAGGAAGACACUGGAGGAUUAUUCAUGUGACAUAAGCAAUAAUGAGGGAAUUUGUACACCUUGUUCUGCUGGAGAAAACCCUGUGAUUGUGAGGGAGGGAGCAGAUGAGAAGAAUCAAUGCAUGGAUCCUACAUUGCCCAGGUGGAGUCAUGUCAUGUGUGCAAAUAAAUUAUCUCAACUGUUUGAAAGCCUGUUUGGAAUGGGUCAGCAGUCCAAGAAUGAUCUGUGUUUCCCUGGUUAGUCUCUUGCAGUGAUGGCGUCAUAGAGCCACUGACAGCUUGUUCCUAAGGUGCUGUCUCUGAGAUAAAUUUUUGUUUCAUCAAAAGGGUCACCCCAGGAUAACUCACAGGAAAAUCAUGCUGGGGUUCUUUGUGGGAAGAUCCAUUUUAGCAUCCUGGGCAUGGGCUAUCUUUUGGAUAGAGAUUUCUGGAUUUCAUAUCCGGAAAGAGGGCACAUGACAGAAAAGAAUGGGGACAUUAGGCUACUGAAAAAUAACUAACUCUGUCCUGAUCUGGAAAGGCUGGUGAAGUUAGUGCAGCUUGAAAAUUGGGUUGUGUGAAAAGCAGGCAGGGAAUAGAGUGGCUCCAAGAACAUGGGCCUAUAAAUGAGUUAAUACAAUGGUUCAGAACCCAAUCUUACUUUUCUCUCGGCUGCUCCAUAAUAACUGUGGAUGGGCAUUAUCUUACCUUAAGAGAAAAGUGUUCCUCUUUCAGUGACAGCUGAGCUACCCUGGGAAAGCUUUCACUUACUGCAGGGUAAGAGUAUGCACUCAGGCCUUUAAUUGUUAAAACACUAGUCCCAAAAAGUUUUCAUGCAUGAUACUUCUGUGAUCUUGGUGGAUCUGUGUCAGGAGACCUGUGGUAUCAAUCCAAAAAUACAAUUUAGCAUCAAGUAUCUCCUUAAAAGUACUCUGCUGAAUUGUUUCAAAUAUUGUGUCAAGCACUUCUGAGAAUCUAGCCAACACAGCCGAAGCUGACCAGUGGAAACACCCAGAGGUGAGACCAAACAGAUCACUGCUUUUUCUGAAGAACUCCGAGGGAUCAUUGUACAUCCCAAGAAUGCUCCACAUGAAGUUGAAUGCCAAUAAAUCCAUCUUUCUUUCUCAUAGACCAGCAUUUUCCAUUCCUGUGCCUGACUGUGCAAGGACCAUGUGUCAGACAUCCAUAAACACUAUAUGAGAUCAGCCUGCGUUGUGGCUGUUGCUGAAAGGGAAAGGCAAAAUGGGGACUGUAAUGCCAGGGCCAGAGGCACAAAAAAUAAUACAGAAAAAUCAAACCUUUCAUCAAAGCCUUGGAACUUUGACAAUGUCUUCCAUUUGGGAAGAAGCAGUUUCACAGACAUAAUCCUUCACCCUUUCAGUUUCAAUCCAGUGUCUCACUAUUCCCCUCCCUCCCCACCCUUCCUCCCCGUUACUGCUUUCAACGCUGCUUAUUUGACUUGGCAUUCCUGAGUUGUAUGUAUAUCUGGCUCUUUUUACUGGAGGUUUUGAACUUCCUUGCUAGAAGGGCUGGGGGGGUUACAGUGGACAAUAAGCUGAAUAUGAGCCAGCAAUGUGCCCUUUUUGUGAAGACGGCUAAUGGCAUAUUGGGCAGCAUUAGUAGGAGUGCUGCCAGCAGAUCAAGGGAAGUGAUUAUUCCCUUCUUGACAAUGGUGAGGCCACAUGUGAAGUACUGUGUCCAGUUUUGAGCCCUCCAUUUCAGAAAGUAUGCAGAUAAAUUGGAGAGAGUCCAGCAGAGGGCAAUAAAAAUGGCUAGGAGGCUUGGGCACAUGACUUCUUAGGAGAGGCUGAGGGAACUGGGUUUAUUUAGUCUAGAGAAGAGAAGACUGAGGGGGGAUUUAAUAGCAGCUUUCAGCUACCUGAAGGGAGGGUUGAAAGAGGAUGGAGCUGGACUGUUCUCAGUGGUGGCAGAUGACAGAACAAGGAGCAAUGGUCUCAAGUUGCAGCAAGGGAAGUUUAAGUUAGAUAUUAGGAAGAACUUCCCCACUAGGAGAGAAGUAAAACACUGUAACAGGUUACCCAGAGAUGUGGUAGAGUCUCCAUCCUUGGGGGGGUUUAAGACAUGGCUAGACAAAGCCUUGCCUGGUUUGAGAUAGUUGAGGACAGUCCUGCUUUGAGCAGGGGGUUGGACUAGAUAACCUCCGGGGGUCCCUUUCAAGCCUCAUUUUCUAUGAUUCUGUGAUUCUAUAAGACUCUGUAACUAUUUCUCAGGGAUGGAGGAACAUUUACUUUAUGGUUUUAAAAUGUUGCAUGGGUCCUUAAUUAUUGUCUAUAUAUUCCCUAAAUCCUUUCAAUCCCCCCAAUAAUUGUAUCCUUAAUAUUAUAACAAUAUGUUCAACUUUAACCAUUGAAUCAUACACUUGUUUGCUUCUGUAUGUCUAAUGCAUUGCAGGUACCAGGGUCUCCUUGCAUUCUGGAUGCAAUGUUCAUAAGGCAUUGCCUUAUAGAGAUGGAGAAAAAUGCCACUGAGUGGAGUCUAAGACUUUGCAGUGCUUGGCAAAAAUCCCUUUAUAAACAUUAAUGCAAUAAACCUCAUAACAGUCAUACUUUGCACUUCUAUUUUAUUUUAUAGCAGUUCAGUAAGCUGGAAAAUACUUCCAGAAGUUAAAUAAUAUCUCAAUGACUUAGCUGGGGAAGAAGGAUAUGGGCUUCUGGAACAGGUUAAUCCCUCACUAGAACAAAAAUAAAUGGACUGGGAUUAAGGACAUUCUAUCCUAAUCUAUUUUAUACACAGUAUCAUACAAAAUUCCUGUUAAUCUUGAGCAACAAAGGAUAGAGCAGGAAGAGCAACAGCUUCAAGUAUAUAAACACACUAAGCAUUAUUUCCAGUAAACCAGUAAAACAUAGUUGUGAGUGAGUUUACAUUUUCCAGUUCUCUAUUCUCUUCUAUCACAUCACUUUAUUCUCAAUUGUGGUGUAUUUGACUAUAUAUGUUAACCUAUAACCUCAAAGACCUGAAAUACUUUUGACCUUGACCCAUGACUCAGAUUUGUCUCUAGAAAAGCAGGACUUCCAGCACAGUCCUAAGAGCUUAGUUGAUCACAGUUGGAGAAGGUAUAAUGAAAGGCAAUCUUGAAACUAAAUGUUUGUUAAAAGCCCCAUUGCUGUGCUAUAUAUAUAUAUGCACUGUAAUGAAUUUAUUAUAUCAAAAAUUAAAAAUGUAUCAAAUUAAAAUUUAAAAACCUUUAAAAAUACCAAUAAAAUAUGCU